AUGCAGUGUGGAUUUACAUUGCUGCUUAUCCAAAAGCUAAGUUGGGGGUGGUCUGCAGCAUGGAAACUGCUAGUCCAGCAUGACAGAGAUCCUUGUGAGACGCUACCACGGUCAAGUGGUUUCAGAUGGAAACUACUACAGCAAAGCGAUGCCUUUGGACCCUGUGUUGGAAGUGAAGUGCAAUAUCAGCUGUCAAGGUCAAGUAAGCAAGGGCUGAACCCCCCCUGCCAACCAGCUGAUGGAGCCUCUUUGCUGCCCUUGAGCUGCUAUUACGAGCCUUCCAGAAGUAUUAUGGGAUUUUGUGAUGAAGCCUUUACCUUUUCCACUUGA
rnacentral:lncRNA from 1 species